CACGUAGGGUGCGAGCGUUGUCCGGAAUUAUUGGGCGUAAAGAGCUCGUAGGCGGUGUGUCGCGUCGGCCGUGAAAACCUGCAGCUUAACUGUGGGCUUGCGGUCGAUACGGGCAUCACUGGAGUUCGGCAGGGGAGACUGGAAUUCCUGGUGUAGCGGUGAAAUGCGCAGAUAUCAGGAGGAACACCCAAUGGCGAAGGCGGCUCUCUGGGCCUUACCUGACGCUGAGGAGCGAAAGCGUGGGUAGCGAACAGG
rnacentral:rRNA from 1 species